AUUGAACGCUGGCGUCAGGCUUAACACAUGCAAGUCGAGCGAGCGGCGGACGGGUGAGUAAUUUCUGGGAAACUGCCUGAUGGAGGGGGAUAACUACUGGAAACGGUAGCUCAUACCGCAUACCAUCGGAUGUGCCCAGAUGGGAUUAGCUAGUAGUUGGGGUAAAGACUCACCUAGGCGACGAUCCCUAGCUGGUCUGAGAGGAUGACCAGCCACAUUGGAACUGAUACACGGUACAGAGUCAUACGGGAGGCAGCAGUGGGGAAUAUUGAACAAUGGGCGCAAGCCUGAUGCAGUAAGGCCGCGUGUAUGAAGAAGGCCUUCGGGUUGGAAAGUACUUUCAGCGGGGAGGCGUUACUCGCAGAAGAAGCACCGGCUAACUCCGUGCCAGCAGCCGCGGUAAUAC
rnacentral:rRNA from 1 species